rnacentral:rRNA from 1 species
UACGUAGGGUGCAAGCGUUAAUCGGAAUUACUGGGCGUAAAGCGUGCGCAGGCGGUUAUGUAAGACAGAUGUGAAAUGCCCGGGCUUAACCUGGGAACUGCAUUUGUGACUGCAUGGCUAGAGUUUGGCAGAGGGGGGUAGAAUUCCACGUGUAGCAGUGAAAUGCGUAGAUAUGUGGAGGAACACCGAUGGCGAAGGCAGCCCCCUGGGUCAAGACUGACGCUCAUGCACGAAAGCGUGGGGAGCAAAC